CUCACUCUACUUAGAAGUCCAGUGCAGCUGGACAUCAAUGAUCUGAUUCUUAGAAUUUCUCAAGGGCCCAGGCUGGCUUCAUCAUUUUUGGGAAAAUGCAGUGCCCCACCUUGCGGCUGGGAUGCCAGUCUCCCUUCCCGCAGGUUCUGCUGCACCCACCCAUAGCCGAUGGCCGGCCUCCGAGGGGCUGCCAUCUCCACACUGGAAUGCACUUGGUACCCAGAUUGGGGUGGGCAUAAGGCCCUGUUUUAGCUUCCCACUGAGUGUGUCGGGGGGUUGACACCUGCUGCCUUGCUCUGCCCUGAGAUGCUGCAAGCCGUAUGCCCAACUGCUGUGGCUUGAAUGUUUUUGUCCCCUUCAAAAUUCUUGUGUUGAAAACUUAAUCCCCAAUGCAACAGUGUGGGAGGUGAGGCCUUUUGGGAGGUGCUUUGGUCACUGGGGCUCUGCCCUCAUGAGUGGAAUCUUGCUUGCCAUUGCAAAAAGGGCUUGUGAGAGUGGGUUCACUCUCUCUUGCCCUUUCGUCUUCUGCCUUCUGCCACAUGUGGAUCAAGUAAGAAGUCCUGCACCAGAUGCCAGCACCUUGGAUCCCGGACUUCCCAGUCUCCAGGACCGUGAGAUAGUCAAUUUCUGUUCUUUAUAAAUGACCCUGUCUCAGGUAUUCUGUUAUGGCAGCACCCAACAGACUAAGACACCAGCCUGCCACAUGUGUCCUCCUGGGCCCCCACCAGGGAUGGAGAGUGACGGUGGAACGUGGUCUCCUCACUUCGUGUGACCCAGCUACUUCCCUGGGUAAAGGGCAGCAUCUGUAGUAGGGUGGGGGCAGGGAGGGGAAAUUGGGCAGGGCCAAGGCACCGGGAGAAGAACAGAUGUCUGAGAAAACAUCCUGGGAGUCAACAGGAGGCAGGAGCACGCAUGCGUGAGGCUCCACAUUCCUGGCAGGCUCCAUUGUCUCGUUACACUUCACUUAGGGAGCACAAGUUCAAAGGUAAAAUUCUGAAGAAUUUCAAGAGAGCAAUUAUAGAGUGUUAAACCCUAACCUUCUGGGUGCUUGUCCUGUGCAACUGCACUGGCCCCGCAUGCCCGUGGUACAGGCCCUGCCUCUUCCCUCCUUCCCCUCCUUAACAUCCUGCCUUCCCUCCUUCCUCUCCUUAACAUCUUGCAGUGGCUCACAUUCUUUUUCUUUUCCUCUUUUUUUUUUUUUUUUUUGCAAAAAAAUCCAACUGCUUUAACCUGGCUUUCAGUUUUAGGCCUCCUAACAUACUGUUCUCACUGCCUGAACAUGUUUACGCCCUCCUCAAAUGUCCCUUGGCCUAAGUCUUAUUCAUCAUUGAGAUCUCGAUUUCAGCACCACUUUCUCCAGGAAACAUUCCGAGACUCUUUUGUUUAAAUGCCUCACUUAUUUGGUCCCACAGCACAAAGAUCAAAUGCAGAAGGAACUGCACGUGGAAAGGCCAGCCACAUACAUCACAAAAAGAGGACUGAAGUCAGCACACAGCUUGAAAGCCGGACUACAGGCCUUUCUUCAAGAAUGGCUGGAGUGACCCUGGGGACUUGCUGCAAGAAGCAAGAGGAUUGGGCAAAGGUCAAGAGGCCAUUUGUCAAACAGCACAAGACAUGUAACAGGAUAUGCACAGUGAGACAUGGCGGGGGAGAGCCCCCACGGAGCCCAGGGGAUGUAUGACAUCAUAGUCACAGUCCUACAUCUUCCUCUGUUUCCCCAGCUACCCUGGCUAUCUCUGCAGACAGGAAGAGAGCUGCCAAGUAGGGCUGGAAAGAGACACUCGGCAGGUAGAUCUUGCCGUAACAAGGAGAAGAAACUCAUGGAUUUCACCUAAGACCAGAGAAGGGAACAUUCCCAAGAGACUUGGAGGUUCCAUCUCUCAAGCAACCUGAAAUUAGCAGGGAUUUCUCCUGCGGCUUUGCCAUGAUGUGGGGAAAAGGGAAGUGGUUUUGACGCAAGGGACAGAGGGAGUGUUGGCGGUGGCAGGGGGAGCAGGGGCAGCAGCUCACUUACGGGUUAAAACCACCCUGGAGAGGCCCAGCUCUCUGAAGUUCGACAUCAGAAUAUACAUUCGAGUAAGGGUGGUCAGUUAUUCAAUUUUUUGAGACUCACUUUCCUUGUCUUUAUACAUGAGGUUUAACAAAAUUGUCAAGAAGGUGACAGAAAACAGCAGAGGAAAAAGCUGCAGUAUAGUGGAUACUCCAUAAAUAUUGGUUCCCUUGGCUAUAUUCGUCCCCUCUUUUUCCCAAGUGUAGAGCAACAUGGAUUAAAAUUUAUUUUGUAUUUCUAGAUCUCCAGCAAAUGUAUUUAGAACUGUUCUAUUAAAUUUUCCUGGAAAAUAAAGCAUCCCUUGCAUUGAGGCUAUCUAGGUAAUCUAUUUAACAGCAUCUAAGUCUAGAAAUUCAGAAACGUCUAUAUGUGCGCCUCUCUCUGUAAUGUCCUGAUUCUUUUUUUUUUUCUCAUCCACUUGCCCAUCAGUGGUUCAGAUAUUCUCUCUAUAUUUGUGUUUGCAAAGUUCUAUUCCUGAAUGGAAUUUUCUCCCAGGAAUUCCCGACCGAGGCCAUCUGCUCUGCAGGCAGAAAGUGAAGCGACCGCAGCCUGAUGCAGCCAGGAAGGCAGAGGCUGAGAGGAGGGAGUGUGGCAUCAGAACAGAGUCCGCCGGGGCUCUGGCUUCCUCCUCCGGGAUCAAGGGAAAUGUGCGAAGCACAGUGCAGAAUCCCGGGCGGCUCAUGCCCACUCACUUGCUGGGGGAACAGAUAAAACACGAGUGAGGGGGAGAUUUUGUGGGCUGACACUCCCCAGAAAUGCUGUGUGCACAUGGGCGUGGUGAUUGAUACUUAGCGCUUUGAAGCAAACACCGUGAGACUACUCAGCAUUGGGAGAAGCUGUCCACGCGGACGCCCAGGAAGCAGCCCGGAGGAUAGGGUGCCCCAGCAGUACUGCAGAAUCCCAACUACUGACGAGAAUGAGUAAAAGAAUGCACAGAUUGGACAUGUAAAUAAACAGGUUAAAUACCCUGGCAGCUCUUGAAAACAAACCCCUUUUUCUGAAUCUGCUCAGAAACCUCCGUUCUCAUGGUCACUCGGCAACAUGCUGCGGAGAAGAAGACUCGGCCUCGGAACAGCCAUGCCCGGGUUCGAUCCCAGUCCUAGCUUGUGGCAGCCGGGUGACUGGGCAUGAUUCCUGGGCUUCAGUCCUAAUCUGUAAAACGUAGGGGCUGAAGGAGGAAGCGGGAUGGAGUGGAGACCAUUAGAAUUAAUGUAUGAGGCCAGGCGCAGUGGCUCACACCUGUAAUCCCAGCACUUUGGGAGGCCAAGACAGGCAGAUCAGGAGGUCAGGAGAUCGAGACCAUCCUGGCUAACAUGGUGAAACCCCAUCUCUACUAAAAAUACAAAAAAUUAUCCAGGCGUGGUGGCACGUGCCUGUAGUCCCAGCUACUCGGGAGGCUGAGGCAGGAGAAUUGUUUGAAUAUGGGGGGCCAAGGUUGCAGUGAGCCAAGAUCGUGCCACUGCACUCCAGCCGGGGCAACAGAG
rnacentral:lncRNA from 1 species